rnacentral:rRNA from 1 species
CCUACGGGAGGCAGCAGUAGGGAAUCUUCCACAAUGGGCGAAAGCCUGAUGGAGCAACGCCGCGUGGGUGAAGAAGGUCUUCGGGUCGUAAAACCCUGUUGUUAGGGAAGCAAGUGCGGGAGAGUAACUGUUCACGUUUCGACGGUAUCUAACCAGAAAGCCACGGCUAACUACGUGCCAGCAGCCGCGGUAAUACGUAGGUGGCAAGCGUUAUCCGGAUUUAUUGGGCUUAAAGGGAACGCAGGCGGUCUUUUAAGUCUGAUGUGAAAGCCUUCGGCUUAACCGGAGUAGUGCAUUGGAAACUGGGAGACUGGAGUGCAGAAGAGGAGAGUGGAACUCCAUGUGUAGCGGUGAAAUGCGUAGAUAUAUGGAAGAACACCAGUGGCGAAAGCGGCUCUCUGGUCUGUAACUGACGCUGAGGUUCGAAAGCGUGGGUAGCAAACAGGAUUAGAUACCCUGGUAGUC